rnacentral:lncRNA from 1 species
CUCAGAGGUACUUAAAGAUUUCAUUAGAGACAAACAGGAACAAAUUCCUGGCUGAUAGAAGUAGAAGAACAAAAGAGAACUGUCACCUGUGGCCAGAAAUAUAGAUGUCACAAUUGUCACAAAUCAAAUAACAACUUGCUCACUCUGAAAGAAAUCCACAAAUUCAGUGAUGUCAGAAUCUACACAUUAGUAUGUAGGAUUACUGAAGCUCUUCCUGGAGGAGGCAGCAGCAGUCAUAGAGGAGAAAAAGGGUCUUCAGUGUUCCUUCAGAAUUUCUUGUAUAUCCACUUUACUAUUUUCUCCAUCUCUGACUCUGUGUCUCUGCUUCUUGGGGAAAUAUAUUUAAAAACUACCUUUAAUUUUCAUUACAAAAGUAUUGGCAUAUUGUCUUAUUUUUUUCUUGAAUGAAAUUGUUAUUUAUGUGAUAUGUUACCAUUUUUUGGAAUAAAUUAUUAAUUUCUAUUUAAAUUUGAAUGCUU